rnacentral:rRNA from 1 species
AUUGAACGCUGGCGGCAGGCCUAACACAUGCAAGUCGAGCGGAUGAAGGGAGCUUGCUCCUGGAUUCAGCGGCGGACGGGUGAGUAAUGCCUAGGAAUCUGCCUGGUAGUGGGGGAUAACGUCCGGAAACGGGCGCUAAUACCGCAUACGUCCUGAGGGAGAAAGGGGGGGAUCUUCGGCCCUCACGCUAUCAGAUGAGCCUAGGUCGGAUUAGCUAGUUGGUGGGGUAAAGGCCUACCAAGGCGACGAUCCGUAACUGGUCUGAGAGGAUGAUCAGUCACACUGGAACUGAGACACGGUCCAGACUCCUACGGGAGGCAGCAGUGGGGAAUAUUGGACGAUGGGCGAAAGCCUGAUCCAGCCAUGCCGCGUGUGUGAAGAAGGUCUUCGGAUUGUAAAGCACUUUAAGUUGGGAGGAAGGGCAGUAAGUUAAUACCUUGCUGUUUUGACGUUACCGACAGAAUAAGCACCGGCUAACUUCGUG